rnacentral:lncRNA from 1 species
AUUUUAAGGGGCAAGAGCUUAGAUUGUUUGCCUCGAGAAUUGAUUCUUGGGUCAGAUCAUACGUGCGCCCCCAAUAGAGGGCUGCCGCACAGCCUUCUUCAAGUGGCGUUCUUAUGUGCUACUCUUCAUUAGCUCCCCCUUGUCUUCAUUAUAUGCAGUACUAAUUUCUCCCUUUUGUGUUUGUUUGUGCAGAAAUGGAGUUGGAAUCACCUACUACGUUGAUCUUAUGCGGGAAAUCAAGUCCAGAGAACGAAUUAGCCAGGUUUUUGAAGAUCAAUAACACAAUAAAACUUCCAGAUAAUGCUUCGAUAAAUGUUGUUUUGCAUUCGGAGAAUGAAGAACAAGAGAGCUUUCAAAAGGAUGCGUUUCAGAUAGAUUCAUAUAUGAAUUCUCUUUCAACUUCUCGUGUCGGAAGAUUCCUCAUUUACUCUCCCAUAUUACCGACCACACACGACAUUGUUUCCCAGUGAGCAAUAUUUCUUUUUUUCUUUAAGUAUCUUGUUGUAAACUCAUGGGAAUUCAUUUUAUUCUACAGUGUUAAGUGUUUGGUGUUGAUAAUUUUAACCAUGGCAAGGUAUAACACUUAAAUUCAUAAGGUACCACGAAUUCGUGCUGCAUAUUGUGCUUCAGCAAUUGACAUGUUCUUGCUGUAUAUUUCACCAGUUUUGGAUCCAAUGUUUUCACCUCAAUUCUAAAUACCCAAGCAAUAAAAUUUGUUGUCUUCUGGCAUAAAGUUGAUAAUAUUAUGCGAAAUGUUAAGAAAUGUACGAUUUUGUUGUAAAAGUACUGCAAACCCAUAUCAUACCAUGUGCUAUGUUGUUUAGACUACAUUAUCUUAUGUUCUUUUGUAGUAAUUUUUGCGAGCUGCCGUUAGGCACAGUAUGUGUUGCUGAUGUGCAGCUCAAAGGCAGAGGUAUUAAUCGUGAGGUAUUAUUUAAUAGAAGUACUAAGU